GCCUCUGUGGAUGAAUGGUAAAUCACCUCAGCUUUAUUCAGGAGUACCACCUGGUAAUACUUUCUGAGGAGCAGUGGGUUCGAAUCCCACAAGAGGCA